rnacentral:rRNA from 1 species
GAUGAACGCUGGCGGCGUGCUUAACACAUGCAAGUCGAACGAUGAAGCCGGAGCUUGCUCUGGUGGAUUAGUGGCGAACGGGUGAGUAGCACGUGAGUAACCUGCCCUUGACUCUGGGAUAAGCGCUGGAAACGGCGUCUAAUACCGGAUACGAGCUUCCACCGCAUGGUGAGUUGCUGGAAAGAAUUUCGGUCAAGGAUGGACUCGCGGCCUAUCAGCUUGUUGGUGAGGUAACGGCUCACCGAGGCGACGACGGGUAGCCGGCCUGAGAGGGUGACCGGCCACACUGGGACUGAGACACGGCCCAGACUCCUACGGGAGGCAGCAGUGGGGAAUAUUGCACAAUGGGCGCAAGCCUGAUGCAGCAACGCCGCGUGAGGGACGAAGGCCUUCGGGUCGUAAACCUCUUUUAGCAGGGAAGAAGCGAAAGUGACGGUACCUGCAGAAAAAGCACCGGCUAACUACGUGCCAGCCGCCGCCGUAA